rfam:Callithrix jacchus chromosome 19, whole genome shotgun sequence
ACCCCUGUGGAAAAUUCCCCAAUCCUGUUUCUGACACCUCAUAUGAAAGCUGCAUGUGCAGUCUUACUGCUAUUUUGCAAGCCUGAGGCUU